rnacentral:rRNA from 1 species
AAUUUUGGACAAUGGGCGCAAGCCUGAUCCAGCCAUGCCGCGUGAGUGCAGAAGGCCUUCGGGUUGUACAGCUCUUUCGGCCGGAAAGAAAUCGCGCAGGCUAAUACCCUACGCGGAUGACAGUACCGUCAUAAGAACCCACGGCCAACGACGUGCCAGCCGCCGCGGUAAUAUGUAGGGUGCGCGCGUUAAUCGGGAUUACUGGGCGUAAAGCGUACGCAGGCGGUUGAUUAAGACAGGCGUGAAAUCCCCGGGCUUAACCUGGGAACUGCGCUUGUGACUGGUCAGCUAGAGUACGGCAGAGGGGGGUGGAAUUCCACGUGUAGCAGUGAAAUGCGUAGAGAUGUGGAGGAACACCGAUGGCGAAGGCAGCCCCCUGGGCCGAUACUGACGCUCAUGCACGAAAGCGUGGGUAGCAAACAGG